UGUUUGGUGUUUUCCUCUGGCCUCAGAGAUGUGUGCAGUGUGCAGUCUCUUCUGGUUUCCCAAGCGUGUCUGCCUCUCUGUAGGUUUAGCUCUCCCUCCCACGGGAUUUGGGUGCAGAGAACUGUUUAUCCGGUGAAGUUCUGGAGAAAAUACUGAAAAUGUCCACAUCAGCCACCAGAUGUCAGCUCUGGUUACGCACACAUAGCAUGAAUGAGUAGCAAGCUGUAGUACACUUAUCAAUGAAUCAAUAUCUGUUUAUGUCUUGUGCUUUUUGACUAGUUAUAAUAGUCACUUACUCCUUUGUUCUUAAGGGCAUGAAGAGUUCUCUUUAGAGCAAUUGUCUCAUAACAAAGAAAUUUCUAUGUAUGGAAUUGCCAUUUAUUACCAUGUGUGAUGAAGAGAGGAGAGUUGAGUUUGGAAUUACUACCAAAUAAAACUGUCAGCCAUCUUCUUCCCAGCUUUGAUGACUGCAUUAAAUAUUGAUUAAGAUUUUGUUUUCACAAAGGUAUCAGGAUGAAAGCAUGGGAAAGGUGCUCGGUAUAUUCGCAGUUUAAAAAAGGGUAAACCAAUGUCACUGGUACUAUUUAUAAUUCAAACACAUUGUUAGGGAAGCCAUGGUGACCUUAAG